UGAAGGAAAAACUAUUAGUUAAUUUGUCAGUUUAAGUAAUGUUGAAUCUAUUUCUUUUGAAAUUAAUAAAUUUUUCGUAAUAUUUUCUUUGAUUUGCGACAAUCGUCAUAAUAUUCGCAGUUCGGUAGCGAAUGUCAACAUGUCCAGAUCAAACCCCGAGAGGGUUGUUUUGUAAAAUCAACAAACUGUGAACAUUAUCGAAGCAUUGCAGAAACCCAGGGACAGUUAUGACAAAUUAAAUCAUAGUUAUUUAUGCUCGGGAAAUUCCGAUCAGCCAAAAGGGAAGCUUGAACUUGAAGCUAGGUCACAAACAUGUGCAAGAUUGCAGAUCCACGUUGCCUCGUCUGAAGUCAUGUCGUGUGCAGUGAGCAUGAGAAAAUCAACCCUACUUUACCCUAGACUAGAAAAAAGACUGGAGGUCAGAAUGCAGGAUGAUUGAGCAAGGAGUGCUGGCAGAUGGACUAUUGAGGUCAACAAAAAAUUUGGACUUUCAUCAGGUGGACACAUGUUCAGCAAGAAAUUCUCACAUCAAAUGAAUGAUGGCUGUCUGUGGAAAAGAGAUUUUCUCAGAAUAUAUCACAGAUCAGAGGCAGGAAUUACAUAUUUAUCUGAUCAAAGAAAUGUUUUUGUAGAAAUAUGGAAGUCAAUGCAAUAUGUUAUCAUAGUCACUGCUGCUUGUUGCAUGAUU